rnacentral:misc_RNA from 1 species
UACGAGGGGUGCAAGCGUCAUUCGGAAUUAUUGGGCGUAAAGGGUGUGUAGACGGCAUGUUAAGUCAACUGUUAAAUUCCUCGGCCUAACUGAGGGUAUGCGGUAGAAACUGGCGUGCUAGAGGGUGAGAGAGAGAAGUGGAAUUCUCGGAGUAGCGGUAAAAUGCGUAGAUCUCGAGAGGAACACCGAUGGCGAAGGCAGCUUCUUGGCUCACUCCUGACGUUGAGGCACGAAAGCGUGGGGAGCAAACAGG